AUGACAUCAGGUUUAACUUCAAGAGAAAGCCAUUUUUUUGAAGAAGCAGUAGCCAUUCUGUUUGUUUAUUCUAUUUCCAAUUUAGAAUUUCCUCUCUUAUUUCAAUUUCAUCUGACUUUUGGAUUAUUUUAUGGAAUAGGCCUUGGUGUUGGUAGCAGCUGCGAGUUAACUUGGUAUAGUGUAACUCUUUACUAG